AGCAGUAGCCGCGGUAAUACAGAGGGUGCGAGCGUUAAUCGGAUUUACUGGGCGUAAAGCGUGCGUAGGCGGCUUCUUAAGUCGGAUGUGAAAUCCCUGAGCUUAACUUAGGAAUUGCAUUCGAUACUGGGAAGCUAGAGUAUGGGAGAGGAUGGUAGAAUUCCAGGUGUAGCGGUGAAAUGCGUAGAGAUCUGGAGGAAUACCGAUGGCGAAGGCAGCCAUCUGGCCUAAUACUGACGCUGAGGUACGAAAGCAUGGGGAGCAAACAGGAUUAGAGACCCCAGUAGUCCCUGUCUCUUAUAC
rnacentral:rRNA from 1 species